UACGGAGGAUCCGAGCGUUAUCCGGAUUCAUUGGGUUUAAAGGGUGCGUAGGCGGGCUAUUAAGUCAGUGGUGAAAUCCUGCAGCUUAACUGCAGAACUGCCGUUGAUACUGAUAGUCUUGAGUUUGGUUAAGGUAGGCGGAAUGUGUAAUGUAGCGGUGAAAUGCUUAGAUAUUACACAGAACACCAAUUGCGUAGGCAGCUUACUGAGCCGACACUGACGCUGAGGCACGAAAGCGUGGGGAUCAAACAGGAUUAGA
rnacentral:rRNA from 1 species